AGCGCCCGCGAGCUCCCGGAUUUCUUCUCUUUCCUCGCUAUUUCCCGCACACACAACCCUGCAGCCCUCCCUUCUUCCUUCCUGGCUUGUGAUUAGAACGCAGCCGCAGGCGGAAGUGCAGUGACGCCAUCAGCCGUCGCCUGAGCCGUGGUGCGCGGGUGGCCGAAAGGCGAAAGUGAGAUUUCGAGGGCCGGGUGUGGGGCCCCGCGGGCGCGCAGUGCUGCGAUGUAUGGGGAGUACGGGGAGGCUGGAGAGGAGCCGGCCCCCGGCAGUGUGAGGUGCGGAAGCGCGGUCCAGACGCUUUGCUGACGGGAGGCCGGUCCGCCAGAUCCGGGAGGUGGGGCCUCGUUCUGGACUGCUGAAGAAAUUUGGAUACAGAGACAGACAAGCACCAAGAGAAGAUGAUGUGAAGAAACACAGCGAGAACACCAUGUGAAAAUGGAGGACUGGAAUGAAGCAUCUACAAACCAGGAAAUGUCUGAGGCUACCAGAAGCCAGGAGAGAGGCCUGGAACAGAUCCUGCACUAGAGCCUUCAAAGAGAGCAUGGUCCUGCUGACAUGUUGAUUUUGGACUUCUGGCCUCCAGAGCUGUGAGAAUAAAUUUCAUUUGUUUUAA